ACUCCUACGGGAGGCAGCAGUGGGGAAUAUUGGACAAUGGGCGAAAGCCUGAUCCAGCCAUGCCGCGUGUGUGAAGAAGGUCUUCGGAUUGUAAAGCACUUUAAGUUGGGAGGAAGGGCAGUAAAUUAAUACUUUGCUGUUUUGACGUUACCGACAGAAUAAGCACCGGCUAACUCUGUGCCAGCAGCCGCGGUAAU
rnacentral:rRNA from 3 species